GCGCGAUGAUUUUCGGUGAUUGUCCGGCGGAGUACAACCCGAAGAUCCACGGACCUUACGAUCCUGUCCGUUACUACGGCAA
rnacentral:lncRNA from 1 species